rnacentral:lncRNA from 1 species
UAACCAAAGAGGGUGCAAUUUCAGUCAGAGUAGGGAGAAGAAAAGAGUUAGUUUAGAAAUGAGGAAGCAACACACUUCUUCUGCUGUUGCUGCUGUUGCUGCGUCUCUUUGCAAGGUGCUCCUGAUGAUCCUCGCCCUCCUCUGCACCCUGCACACUGCCUCCGUGGUCGAAGGUAAAUAUAUACUCCCUCUGUUUCAAACUAUUUGACACUGUUGAUUUUUUAUACGUGUUUAACCGUUCGUCUUAUUCAAAAAAUUUAAGUAAUUAUUUAUUCUUUUCAUAUCAUUUGAUUUAUUGUUAAAUAUACUUUCAUGUACAUAUAUAGUUUUACAUAUUUCACAAAUUUUUUUUGAAUAAGACGAACGGUCAAACACGUGCUAAAAAAAUCAACGGUGUCAAAUAUUUUGAAACGGAGGGAGUAUUUACUAGUACUCCGUUCGAUCGAGUUAAAUUAACUUUGUGGGUUUGUGCAUGCUGCAUGUUAUUUAUAAAAUUAACGAGUAGAUCGAUCAGUGACAUGCUAUACACAGUGUUAAUUGGGUGAAUGAAGUGUAUUGAUCACAUGAUAUAUGGAUGCAGGGAGAUCAGGUCCUCCGAACGGGCCGCCAGCUCCUAGUGCCAACGAAGAGCGGCACAAUACACCGGCCUUUCACAACUAGCUAGCUUGAUAUAACAGCUGCAGACUCACCAUGCAUGACAACCUACAUACCUGCAGCUCUCUAUACCCAUGACAUGGCAUGUAAUAAUAUGUGUGUGUGAUACUACGUAUGUACUGUUUCUGUUGCCGGAUCGGAUGAUGAUCGAUGUUCAACUUACUCUCCUAGCUGAGUAGUCCCUUAAUCCUUUUCAUCUCUUUGUGUAACUAGUGAGCAAAGGAAAAUUAAAUAUAGGGAUCUCAUCGAUCUGGGGCUUCUCCAUGUCUGUCAAGAGCUUGUGUAGAUCGAGCUGUGUGAUGGUGUUAAUCCUGGG